AGUGAACGCUGGCGGUAGGCCUAACACAUGCAAGUCGAACGGCAGCACAGUAAGAGCUUGCUCUUACGGGUGGCGAGUGGCGGACGGGUGAGGAAUACAUCGGAAUCUACUUUUUCGUGGGGGAUAACGUAGGGAAAUUUACGCUAAUACCGCAUACGACCUACGGGUGAAAGCAGGGGAUCUUCGGACCUUGCGCGAUUGAAUGAGCCGAUGUCGGAUUAGCUAGUUGGCGGGGUAAAGGCCCACCUAGGCGACGAUCCGUAGCUGGUCUGAGAGGAUGAUCAGCCACACUGGAACUGAGACACGGUCCAGACUCCUACGGGAGGCAGCAGUGGGGAAUAUUGGACAAUGGGCGCAAGCCUGAUCCAGCCAUACCGCGUGGGUGAAGAAGGCCUUCGGGUUGUAAAGCCCUUUUGUUGGGAAAGAAAAGCAGCAGGUUAAUACCCCGCUGUUCUGACGGUACCCAAAGAAUAAGCACCGGCUAACUUCGUG
rnacentral:rRNA from 1 species